rnacentral:rRNA from 1 species
GAUGAACGCUGGCGGCGUGCCUAAUACAUGCAAGUCGAACGAGGUGCUUGAGUAGCAAUACGAGAGUAUCCUAGUGGCGAACGGGUGAGUAACGCGUUGGUGACCUACCCCAAAGUGUGGGAUAACAGUUCGAAAGGACUGCUAAUACCGCAUGUGGUUAUCGGAUUUAGAAACUGAUAACUAAAGGAGCAAUUCGCUUUGGGAGGGACCUGCGUCCCAUCAGCUUGUUGGUGAGGUAAUGGCUCACCAAGGCUACGACGGGUAGGGGACCUGAGAGGGUGACCCCCCACAAUGGAACUGAAACACGGUCCAUACACCUACGGGUGGCAGCAGUAGGGAAUAUUGCACAAUGGGCGAAAGCCCGAUGCAGCAACGCCGCGUGUGCGAUGAAGGCCUUCGGGUCGUAAAGCACUUUUCUGAGGGAUGAGCAAGGACAGUACCUCAGGAAUAAGUCUCGGCUAACUACGUGCCAGCCGCCGCAGUAACAC